rnacentral:lncRNA from 1 species
GGGUGGGGAUCUGGACCGUUUACAAGAUAAAAGCAUAUUCUCAAAUUGAAGGGGGUGGGGAUGACCCCCCAAGGACUCCCCCUAUAUUUCAUGUGAUUUGUUUUAUUGUCCUUUAAUCAUUUCUGAAGACUACAUGUAUCUAUCACUUACAGUUUUCAAGUUAUAUUCAUUUGAAAAUUUUAGAAAAUAAAAUCCCAUAGGUUUUUAUAGUAAACCCCUCCCUUCUUUCUGCCCCCAAAAAUACCCCUUAAUAGACCCCAAUGCACAAACGAAAGAU